rnacentral:rRNA from 1 species
GUGGGGAAUUUUGGACAAUGGGCGCAAGCCUGAUCCAGCAAUGCCGCGUGCAGGAUGAAGGCCUUCGGGUUGUAAACUGCUUUUGUACGGAACGAAAAGACUCCUUCUAAUAAAGGGGGUCCAUGACGGUACCGUAAGAAUAAGCACCGGCUAACUACGUGCCAGCAGCCGCGGUAAUACGUAGGGUGCAAGCGUUAAUCGGAAUUACUGGGCGUAAAGCGUGCGCAGGCGGUUAUAUAAGACAGAUGUGAAAUCCCCGGGCUCAACCUGGGAACUGCAUUUGUGACUGUAUAGCUAGAGUACGGUAGAGGGGGAUGGAAUUCCGCGUGUAGCAGUGAAAUGCGUAGAUAUGCGGAGGAACACCGAUGGCGAAGGCAAUCCCCUGGACCUGUACUGACGCUCAUGCACGAAAGCGUGGGGAGCAAACAGGAUUAGAAACCCGGGUAGUCC